UAACAGGAUUAGAUACCCUGGUAGUCCACGCCCUAAACGAUGUCUACUAGUUGUCGGGUCUUAAUUGACUUGGUAACGCAGCUAACGCGUGAAGUAGACCGCCUGGGGAGUACGGUCGCAAGAUUAAAACUCAAAGGAAUUGACGGGGACCCGCACAAGCGGUGGAUGAUGUGGAUUAAUUCGAUGCAACGCGAAAAACCUUACCUACCCUUGACAUGGUCGGAAUCCUGCAGAGAUGCGGGAGUGCUCGCAAGAGAGCCGAUACACAGGUGCUGCAUGGCUGUCGUCAGCUCGUGUCGUGAGAUGUUGGGUUAAGUCCCGCAACGAGCGCAACCCUCACCUUCAGUUGCCAUCAUUUAGUUGGGCACUCUGAAGGAACUGCCGGUGACAAGCCGGAGGAAGGUGGGGAUGACGUCAAGUCCUCAUGGCCCUUACGCGCUGGGCUACACACGUGCUACAAUGGUGGUGACAGUGGGUCGCUAGUCCGCGAGGACAAGCUAAUCUCCAAAAGCCAUCUCAGUUCGGAUUGCACUCUGCAACUCGAGUGCAUGAAGUCGGAAUCGCUAGUAAUCGUGGAUCAGCAUGCCACGGUGAAUACGUUCCCGGGCCUUGUACACACCGCCCGUCACACCAUGGGAGUUGGUUUUACCCGAAGCAGGUGCGCUAACCGCAAGGAGGCAGCCUACCACGGUAAGGUCAGCGACUGGGGUGAAGUCGUAACAAGGUA
rnacentral:rRNA from 1 species